rnacentral:rRNA from 1 species
GUGGGGAAUAUUGGACAAUGGGCGAAAGCCUGAUCCAGCCAUGCCGCGUGUGUGAAGAAGGUCUUCGGAUUGUAAAGCACUUUAAGUUGGGAGGAAGGGCAGUAAGUUAAUACCUUGCUGUUUUGACGUUACCGACAGAAUAAGCACCGGCUAACUUCGUGCCAGCAGCCGCGGUAAUACGAAGGGUGCAAGCGUUAAUCGGAAUUACUGGGCGUAAAGCGCGCGUAGGUGGUUUUGUAAGUUGGAGGUGAAAUCCCCGGGCUCAACCUGGGAACUGCCUCCAAAACUGCAUGACUAGAGUACGGUAGAGUGUAGUGGAAUUUCCUGUGUAGCGGUGAAAUGCGUAGAUAUAGGAAGGAACACCAGUGGCGAAGGCGACUACCUGGACUGAUACUGACACUGAGGUGCGAAAGCGUGGGGAGCAAACAGGAUUAGAUACCCCAGUAGUCC